rnacentral:lncRNA from 1 species
CGAUUGCAUUUUUUUGUGCUUCUUUUUGAAUCUUCGAGUUAUAAUUUUUUCUUUUUUUUUCUCUCGAUGAUUUUAUAUUUCAUUUUGUUUUCGCACUUUCUUGGGCUUUGGGAGAUUUUGGGGUUUUUACCCCAAACUUAGCUUUUCCAUACAGUUUUAACUAUAUUAACAUGACUCUGAUUAGGGUAAGGAAGUGUUUUGGCCAAGGGGUACAUUUUAUGGGGUGUAAACAAAC